UGUGAAGUCAUUGAUGCCAUGCUUCCAGGAAAAGCCUCUAAGCUUCAGAUUGUAAGGAAUCGUACCCCAAACCGACACAGGUGGUCGGGUAGAGAAUACCAAGGCGCUUGAGAGAACUCGGGUGAAGGAACUAGGCAAAAUGGUACCGUAACUUCGGGAGAAGGUACGCUCUCGACGGUGAAGUCCCUCGCGGAUGGAGCUAUUGAGAGUCGCAGAUACCAGGUGGCUGCAACUGUUUAUUAAAAACACAGCACUGUGCAAAAUCGCAAGAUGACGUAUACGGUGUGACGCCUGCCCGGUGCCGGAAGGUUAAUUGAUGGGGUUAGACUUCGGUCGAAGCUCUUGAUCGAAGCCCCGGUAAACGGCGGCCGUAACUAUAACGGUCCUAAGGUAGCGAAAUUCCUUGUCGGGUAAGUUCCGACCUGCACGAAUGGCGUAAUGAUGGCCACGCUGUCUCCACCCGAGACUCAGUGAAAUUGAAAUCGCUGUGAAGAUGCAGUGUACCCGCGGCUAGACGGAAAGACCCCGUGAACCUUUACUACAGCUUGGCACUGAACAUUGACCCUACAUGUGUAGGAUAGGUGGGAGGCUUUGAAGCGCAGUCGCUAGAUUGCGUGGAGCCGUCCUUGAAAUACCACCCUUGUAGUGUUGAUGUUCUAACGUCGACCCCUUAUCGGGGUUGCGGACAGUGCCUGGUGGGUAGUUUGACUGGGGCGGUCUCCUCCCAAAGCGUAACGGAGGAGCACGAAGGUGGGCUAAUCACGGUUGGACAUCGUGAGGUUAGUGCAAUGGCAUAAGCCCGCUUGACUGCGAGAAUGACAAUUCGAGCAGGUGCGAAAGCAGGUCAUAGUGAUCCGGUGGUUCUGAAUGGAAGGGCCAUCGCUCAACGGAUAAAAGGUACUCCGGGGAUAACAGGCUGAUACCGCCCAAGAGUUCAUAUCGACGGCGGUGUUUGGCACCUCGAUGUCGGCUCAUCACAUCCUGGGGCUGAAGUCGGUCCCAAGGGUAUGGCUGUUCGCCAUUUAAAGUGGUACGCGAGCUGGGUUUAGAACGUCGUGAGACAGUUCGGUCCCUAUCUGCCGUGGGCGUUGGAGAAUUGAAAGGGGCUGCUCCUAGUACGAGAGGACCGGAGUGGACGAACCUCUGGUGUUCGGGUUGUGUCGCCAGACGCAUUGCCCGGUAGCUAAGUUCGGGAUCGAUAACCGCUGAAAGCAUCUAAGCGGGAAGCGAGCCUUGAGAUGAGUUCUCCCUGAUACUUUAAGUAUCCUAAAGGGUUGUCGUAGACUACGACGUUGAUAGGCAGGGUGUGUAAGCGUUGUGAGGCGUUGAGCUAACCUGUACUAAUUGCCCGUGAGGCUUAACCAU
rnacentral:rRNA from 1 species